ACGCAGACCGUCAGCUCCUGCAGAAGGAGAGCCAGUGAGCCUGGACCGGGGCGUCAGCCGAGCAGAGGCCGUACCGGAGACCCCGGGGAGGGACGCCUGCCGCGAGGGACCUAUGGGGGAACCGCUCCCACAACGCAGACGUCCAGCUAGACAGGGGCUGACAGGCACGUGGAGGACAAGAACGAAGGAGUUAACAGGACAUUAUGUCCCUUCACCCGAAAUGGGACCGAUCCAGAACCAUGGACCCGACCUCCCUCCAAUUCUCAGACGUUCCGAUCCACAACCAGAUUUCACAGCUGGGGCCUCCCUCGGUACAAACUGGAUCAGAACCAGAUCAGAGCCUCUUCCCAUUGUGAGCAAGCGAAUACUCAGCUCUUGGCUUGGGCCAGAUGUAGCUUUGAUCCUUAACAACAAGUCAUUAAUUAACGGUUAAUUAGUAGGGGGUUUCCAGGGAGUCAUUACAUUCGUUAAGCAAGAACAUUUCUACAGCUGAUCAACAAGCCCUGGAGGGAACACACACGCUGACCCGAACAGCUGCUGUUACCCAAGGAUUUGGACAGCUGCCGUCCCGCAAGACAGGAUGGAAUUUCACGGGCCCACCGAUCAGUCUGUAUUUUUGCAGCCAAAAUUAUAGACGGGUGCAACUGUUAGGCCUGAAUAAAGAUGUAGCACAAAACCAGUUGUGCCAACCUGACAAAAAUCAGGCUAGCAGAGGUUUCUGGGAAAAUCCAGAGUGAAAUACUGAAAAGCAGUAUUGUCUUACAAAGCCCUGGGAAACCGUGAGAUCAGUGAACGGGCUGGGACCAGCUGUGUUAUAUUGAGAGACAAACUGUCUCAAGCACUGAUAAGGAACACAAGCAUCUCACAGUUCUGACUAACUCCCUGAUUUAGUGUUCAGUGUGUUUUUAACUCCCUCACAUUCCUAACCUUUGGCGCUUGUUGAGAUAUUAACAAUUCAAUAUUGUAGAGACUAGGCAUGCGUAUAUAUUAAAAGGUGUCUAAUUUCUAGUUGUUAGACGAAGGGGGUGGGUUGCUCUAGUGAAUGAUUUAUGACGUAAUAAAACUGUCUAUAUAAGCUAUACUAAGUUGUAAAGGGGGGGCUGGUUCUUUUCGGA